rnacentral:rRNA from 1 species
ACGUAGGGGGCAAGCGUUAUCCGGAUUUACUGGGUGUAAAGGGAGCGUAGACGGAGCAGCAAGUCUGAUGUGAAAGGCGGGGGCUCAACCCCUGGACUGCAUUGGAAACUGUUGAUCUUGAGUACCGGAGAGGUAAGCGGAAUUCCUAGUGUAGCGGUGAAAUGCGUAGAUAUUAGGAGGAACACCAGUGGCGAAGGCGGCUUACUGGACGGUAACUGACGUUGAGGCUCGAAAGCGUGGGGAGCAAACAG